GAUGAACGCUGGCGGCGUGCCUAAUACAUGCAAGUCGAGCGAACAGAUAAGGAGCUUGCUCCUUUGACGUUAGCGGCGGACGGGUGAGUAACACGUGGGUAACCUACCUAUAAGACUGGAAUAACUCCGGGAAACCGGGGCUAAUGCCGGAUAACAUUUAGAACCGCAUGGUUCUAAAGUGAAAGAUGGUUUUGCUAUCACUUAUAGAUGGACCCGCGCCGUAUUAGCUAGUUGGUAAGGUAACGGCUUACCAAGGCAACGAUACGUAGCCGAACUGAGGGGGGGAUCGGCCACACUGGAACUGGGACACGGUCCAGACUCCUACGGGAGGCAGCAGUAGGGAAUCUUCCGCAGUGGGCGAAAGCCUGACGGAGCAACGCCGCGUGAGUGAUGAAGGUCUUCGGAUCGUAAAACUCUGUUAUUAGGGAAGAACAAAUGUGUAAGUAACUGUGCACGUCUUGACGGUACCUAAUCAGAAAGCCACGGCUAACUACGUG
rnacentral:rRNA from 1 species